CAGUGCAAUAGUAUUGUCAAAGCAUC
rnacentral:piRNA from 3 species